rnacentral:lncRNA from 1 species
GCUAUUGGGUAGCGACUUGUUAUCUUGAAACCCAUUCACACUUCAAGCAGGAAGGAGUGAUUCGCGAGAGUGGGGUCAGGAGAUCACAUUCACCAUUAGUGAAUCAUAGAGGUACUGCCCCACAUAUGGAAGAUGAUAUGCCAUUGGCCCCUUUGAUUAAACCCCUGAAUGAUACAAUUUGCAGCCUCAAGAUCACGAGGUUGAUGUCCAACCUUCCUCAGGGUUCGUAAAGGUAAGAGGUUCACCGCUGAACCUGGAUCGACUAGAAUACGCUUUACAGGCUUCCUGUUAAGGAUUCCUUCAAGGUACAACGGGCGGUUGUGCUCAUUGGAAUCCAGUAAGAAAUCAUCUUCUUCAAAGGAAAUGGUAUCCGAACGACGCCUUUUAUGGAGGGAUAUCUUACGCUUGGCAAAUUCUAUAUCAGCACCAUGGAUCUGUUUAGGAGAUUUCAAUUCUAUCAGAUCUUCAGAGGAAAAAGUUGGAGGUUAUAAGGGAAGCAAGGAGUCAGAAUUCGGUUGGGAUUCAGUGAGUGAGGGAGCAGAGGCAGAAUCGAACUAAGAAGAUUCGGAGUAAUGAAAAUCGAACUCAAAAGCAACUUACCAAUCCAAUCCAGCUGACAUUGAUGGAUAAAAUCCUCCUAGAAAGAGGGACUUGGCAGAGGUAGACUCGGCAUCUGGCUCACCUGCAAAAAUGAAUUUCAAAAGGCUCUUACCACACGGGGUGGACUGGCUGUACUGACUUACCUCACUAGCUAAACUAAUGGAACCCGCCUUGGGCGAGUACUGGAAUAAGUCUUGUAUG